rnacentral:tRNA from 1 species
GCCUGGGUGGCUCCCUGGGUUGAGCAUCUGACUUCGGCUCAGGUCAUGAGCUUGUGGUUUGUGGGUUCGAGCCCCGCGUCGGGCU